rnacentral:rRNA from 1 species
GACGAACGCUGGCGGUGUGCUUAACACAUGCAAGUCGAACGGUAAGGCCCUUUCGGGGGUACACGAGUGGCGAACGGGUGAGUAACACGUGAGUAACCUGCCCUCAUCUCUGGGAUAACAGUCGGAAACGGUUGCUAAUACUGGAUAUGAGCUUGCAAGGCAUCUUGUGGGUUGGAAAGAUUUUUUUUGGUUGGGGAUGGACUCGCGGCCUAUCAGCUUGUUGGUGAGGUAGUGGCUCACCAAGGCUUCGACGGGUAGCCGGCCUGGGAGGGCGACCGGCCACAUUGGGACUGAGAUACGGCCCAAACUCCUACGGGAGGCAGCAGUGGGGAAUAUUGCACAAUGGACGGAAGUCUGAUGCAGCAACGCCGCGUGCGGGAUGACGGCCUUCGGGUUGUAAACCGCUUUCAAUUGUGACGAAGCUUUUUUGUGACGGUAGCAGUAGAAGAAGCACCGGCUAACUACGUG